rnacentral:rRNA from 1 species
UACAGAGGUCUCAAGCGUUGUUCGGAUUCAUUGGGCGUAAAGGGUGCGUAGGUGGCGCUGUAAGUCGGGUGUGAAAUUUCGGAGCUUAACUCCGAAACUGCAUUCGAUACUGCGGUGCUUGAGGACUGGAGAGGAGACUGGAAUUCAUGGUGUAGCAGUGAAAUGCGUAGAGAUCAUGAGGAACACCGGUGGCGAAGGCGGCCUUCUGGACAGUGACUGACGCUGAGACGCGAAAGCGUGGGGAGCAAACAGG